CCUACGGGAGGCAGCAGUGAGGAAUAUUGGUCAAUGGACGCGAGUCUGAACCAGCCAAGUAGCGUGAAGGAUGACUGCCCUACGGGUUGUAAACUUCUUUUAUAUGGGAAUAAAAUGUUCCACGUGUGCCUUUUUGUAUGUACCAUAUGAAUAAGGAUCGGCUAACUCCGUGCCAGCAGCCGCGGUAAUACGGAGGAUCCGAGCGUUAUCCGGAUUUAUUGGGUUUAAAGGGAGCGUAGGUGGAUUGUUAAGUCAGUUGUGAAAGUUUGCGGCUCAACCGUAAAAUUGCAGUUGACACUGGCAGUCUUGAGUACAGUAGAGGUGGGCGGAAUUCGUGGUGUAGCGGUGAAAUGCUUAGAUAUCACGAAGAACUCCGAUUGCGAAGGCAGCUCACUAGACUGCAACUGACACUGAGGCUCGAAAGUGUGGGUAUCAAACAGGAUUAGAUACCCCAGUAGUC
rnacentral:rRNA from 1 species